AUCGCUUCUCGGCCUUUUGGCUAAGAUCAAGUGUAGUAUCUGUUCUUAUCAGUUUAAUAUCUGAUACGUCCCCUAUCUGGGGACCAUAUAUUAAAUGGAUUUCCGGACCAGGGAGAUGGAAGAAGAGCUUGCUCUGUCCACUCCAGGCAUCGACCUGGUAUCGCAGUACCUCCAGGACCGGUGCACCUCUC
rnacentral:snRNA from 1 species